GAUGAACGCUGGCGGCGUGCCUAAUACAUGCAAGUCGAGCGAACGGACGAGAAGCUUGCUUCUCUGAUGUUAGCGGCUGACGGGUGAGUAACACGUGGAUAACCUACCUAUAAGACUGGGAUAACUUCGGGAAACCGGAGCUAAUACCGGAUAAUAUUUUGAACCGCAUGGUUCAAAAGUGAAUGACGGUCUUGCUGUCACUUAUAGCUGGAUCCGCGCUGCAUUAGCUAGUUGGUAAGGUAACGGCUUACCAAGGCAACGAUGCAUAGCCGACCUGAGAGGGUGAUCGGCCACGCUGGAACUGAGACACGGUCCAGACUCCUACGGGAGGCAGCAGUAGGGAAUAUUCCGCAAUGGGCGAAAGCCUGACGGAGCAACGCCGCGUGAGUGAUGAAGGUCUUCGGAUCGUAAAACUCUGUUAUUAGGAAAGAACAUAUGUAUAAGUAACUGUGGACAUCUUGACGGUACCUAAUCAGAAAGCCACGGCUAACUACGUG
rnacentral:rRNA from 1 species